CUUUUGCAUGUGGAUAUCUGGUUUUCUCAGUACCAUUUGUUGAAGAGGCUACCCUUUCCCCAUUAUGUAUACUUGGCACCUUUGUUGAAGAUUAUUUGACCGUUUAUGUGUGGACCUAUUUCUGGGCUCUUUGUUCUAUUCUAGGACUUGAUAUAAUCCCCUUUUACUCAGGAGGCCAUUUGGUGAGCCCACUACUCUUACCUGUGUUCAUUUUUGUUGGUGACUGAGAACUUUUGCAUUUUAAAGUCUUCUAGAUGGUUGAAGACACCAGAGAAUGGAGUUUGAAAUAAUGCUUGCUAUUGUUAUAUUUCAGGUCUAUCAUAUGCAAGUCACACAGUUGGUUUCACGCCACCAACUUCACUGACCAGAGCCGGAAUGUCUUAUUACAAUUCCCCGGGUCUUCAUGUGCAGCAUAUGGGAGCAUCCCAUGGCAUCACAAGGCCUUCACCGCGGAGAAGCAACAGUCCUGACAAAUUCAAACGGCCCACGCCACCUCCGUCUCCCAACACACAGACCCCGGUCCAGCCCCCUCCGCCUCCACCUCCGCCGCCCAUGCAGCCUGCGGCCCCCUCGGCAGCCACCUCGCAGCCCGCCCCUUCGCAACAUCCGGUGCACCCCUCCUCCCAGCCUUAAUGCAUGUGCUUAGUCUGCAUCUCCUGUUGGGACUCGUACAGUGGAGCCGUCUACUCAACGCCAAAGGCUUCCUUCCCUGGCAUUUUUGGAUCUGACUUAUUUGCACUGAGGUUAUCUAGGCUUCACUAUUAAUUGUGUUGUAAGUGUUUGUCAGAAACGCAGCCAGUGUUGUGGGUCUACAACACUAAACAGAUGACUUUUUCCAUCAGUGUUUUACUUGAAUCUACAUGUACGUCCAUUCCCUGGCUGGAACAUUUGCUAUUCGAUAUUUGGUAAUUCAGCAGCAGUGUGCAAUUUUUGCUUGGCCCCAGAGCUUCAUUUUCCUGGCUUUUAGGUUUGUAAAAUAAAAAGGGAUAUCUUUUUUACAUUUUUUUUUCAUGAAUUUGCAGAAAAUUACUGAGCUGUUACUCCCCCCCCCGCCCCCCAUUAUAAUGGUGUUUACCAAACAUACCAAUAAUUCAGCACUACAAUUCAGACCUUUGAAAAUCUAGCUUUCGGUGUAGAAUGGAAAGUUAGAUAUCAUUGCCCAAGACAAUAUAUACUCUUUGAUAGAGCUUUCUACAGAUACACUUUUUAUAGGUUAUUUUCAGUAUAUGUCAACAUCCAUGUCUCUUGUGAAACAGAUAGGCUAAAGUAAUGGAUCACAUGGCUGUACCUUUUCCACAUACACAUGGGAUGGAUAAUUAUUGUAUAUUAAGGUGUGAUUCUUUCCUUAUCUUUAGUGUUAACCUACCCAGACUGGCCCCUCUAACACGAGUCGAUAAAUGUUGUCCUGCCCACCGGUGGUUUUGAUGGCUGAUUAGACACACUCUUUGAUUUCUGCUGCAGAAGGCAACAUGAUUGUAACAGAAACAGCUAUUUUCCCCUUUCCAUUCUUCGUGUUCCCCUAAAAUAGAGUUUGAACAAAUAUUUUAAAGGUGCAAAAUACUAUUAGAAAGUACUAUUUGAAAUGAACAUUAUAGGAAUCUCUUGGCAUAAGAGCCACAGAAUAGUUUAUUGCUUGGCAGAAGAGACAAGAGGUGAGAAGAAAGUAGCACAUUAGCUGGAUGAGCGCUUGUGUCGCCCAGUAUAAGCAAGUGCGGUGUACAAACAAGUAUACUCUGAAUACGUUAUUUCCACUCAUUUAGCACAAAUAAAUCGUUUGGUUUCACUUGGAAGUGGAACACUGUGAGUCACUCUUUUCUUAAUACUUGCAACAUCUUUAUUUUUGCUUUUCAGCAGUUACUGUUUUGUACUUUGGUAGUAAAGUGAUUUUUACCACCUGUGUUUGCAUAUUUAUAUAUGCUGUGGACGAAAAUAACUUACUAGAGAAUGUAUAUUUUAUGAUGAGAAUGUGUAUCUGUUGGAUAUAAUCAGAGAACUGAAAAUUAAUUUAUCAGUAAUUUUUAAGAGUCCAUGUUUUGUGACACCCAUCUCUAAUAGCUAGCGCUUUAUUGAACACACUCCUAAAAAUAAGGAACCGUGACAUUGUAGAUAUUUAAUAGUGUACAGUAUAGAAACUUCCAUUUUUGCCUUCGAAUGCAUAUUUAAGAAUUACAGAAUGAAACAAGUCUUGUUGGAAAAUAGUGUUUGACUAGCAUUUUAAGAACUGGAGAGUAAAAGCAACAAUAGGAUUUUUCACCUCUUCCUGCUUCCACCCCUGAACUUCACUCCCCAAUUGGUCUAUAUAAAUUUUAUUUAUAAUCUGUAUGUAAUAUACAUAAUCAUAGUACAGUUCUCAAAUAAGGGGAAGAAGUUUGGCAUUUAAUUAUUGAGGCUUUAGGUUUUUAAUUUGAUCAGACGGGGUCCUAGCAAACCUGGGGAUCUCACCAACAGCCUGCCGCCCCUCCUGGUACAUUGCCAUUCCGAGGAAUUCUGAGAGGAGGCAAACCCAUUUUGCCUUCACGGUACAGUUCUUGGUUUUUCUUAUAGGAGAAGUAUGGUCUAUGUUUACAAGACUCUCUCAUGAGCUGAUAGAAUUUAAUGCUGUUGGAUAGUGGCUUGCACGCAAACGAGAAAGUCCAUAACGGAACGAGCUUCCCUCCACUUCCUGUCAAUGGUUCCCUCCUGAAAGCACAAAAGUCGAAACAUUGCCAGAUGGUGAUUGAAAAAGCACUUGGCGUGAGCAAACUGCUCCUAACAAACGCCUUUUAGAAACAGGUUCCUGACUUUCAGACUUUUGCAGAAAUGGAGUGCUGGUUUCCCUAGACUCGUCAUUUCAUUUCAAAAUAAAACACAGCUCCUUCAAACAGCACUUUUUCGAUGUAGAUCGAGUUGCCUCUCCCUGCGGACAUUCAGAAUUGGUAGAACAAACACUACUCUUUUGAAUCUGUGCUGUUUCAGGUCCUUCUCAGGUGGUUUCUGACCCCGCGUGGCACCUGUCACUCACGGGUAGUGCACCUGCCAGGACCAUUCUUGCUGAUGGUUCAGCCACCAGGGACCCAUCAGAUUCAGACCGCAAGCCAAUGGAGGCAAGAGGCCCCUCACCCAUGGGAAGUUGACUUACCGCGGCCGCUUCUCGUGGGGGCUGAAUAUGGUUCCUGCCAUUUCUGCGGCCCACGCGCCCAGGGGCACCCUGGAGCGGUUCCCUGAAGGCCUCUGUCCAAUCAGGAGCCGGCCCGCGGGCAGGCGGGCGCACCAGUAGCUUCUAGGAGCUUCCCUUCCCUGUCUUGCGGACAGAGACCCUUGGCUACCACUGUGCUGCUAAUAGGAUAAGUACUCUGUUGCCAGAUUACCAUGCCUUUUAUACAAAACCAAAUUAACUUCUCCAAUACCUGACACCUCUCUGGGCUCUGAACUGCUUUCUCUCAUCAAGCAUGCUGGCAUUCUGGACAGAAUUCCAGAAAUUUGGCAGAUGGUGGAAAUAUUUAAUAUUUAAUUUAACUUGCUCCCUGUUAAUUGAGAGGAGUUUUAAACUCUGAGCUCCUGCGAUACUGACCAACCAUGGGAUGAAUGUGUGACCAGAAUGUGGCUUUGGCACCAAGUGCCGUUGUCCCUUUGUAAUUGGCUUCUAACUGAUUGGACCAGAGAUCACUGAUAAUGUGAAUUUUUGUUAACUGUUCAACUGUAGGAAAAUAGAAUAUGUAUCUCUCUCUGUUAGGUAGACAUGAACUUUUCCUGCACGAAGCCUUGCUUAUAGAGGAUGCCCAAUAAGGCAAGAAAAAGCCUAGUAACUUGUGCUUCGAGAGCACAAUAUUUUUAUCUUACCAGUACGGAAGAAUCAUUUCUAUGUAACCUGAUCUUCUGUCUAGUACUUGUCUUAUAGGUAACCAACACUGAAAACUUUGUAGUGGUAACUACCAAAGAAAUACAUAGUAAAACAACCUUUUAUUUCCAAAUUUAUUAAAGAGCCAGCUGUUGACGCUGCUACACGAGUUCCAUGCUCAAGAGCCAUUGUAAGAGAUUAAGGGGUUUUUAGGUUUUCGUUUCUGGUUUCUUUUUCUUGUUUUCUUUUUUCUAUUUUUUUUUUUUUUUUUAACAUACACACACAGCUGUUGGCAUGUUGUUAUGGGGAGCAUUUCCAGAAUGCUCAGCAGUCGUUAACAGCCAAGCCCUGGUUGCCUCUCGUGAGGCGGUGGAGGGAAUCCUAUGUUCACGAUAGUGUGGGUGCUGUGUGUGUGCACGUGUGUGUGUGUGUGCAUUCAUGCCUUAACUCGGGUUACUGCUCAACUUCAGUUCUUGACUCAGUCUGCACCGUCAUUGAGAUUGUAGUGUACAUCUUGAUCUGAACUUCAUCCUGGCAAAAACAAAGUUGCAGGCACAACAGUUUAGGAAUGCAUUCCUCUGGAAGAGGUUUUAAUCAGGUUGACCCUGAGCCUUUGGACUUUAUUUGGAACUCAGCAUGGAAAGCAAAAAUGGACUGUCAAACAGAAAGACAUCAACAAGGAAGAGAGGAGAGCCAAGUGCUAGCAUGUCUUUGCCUCUGCAUCUCCGUGCACACUGUAUGUUCAUGAUAGCUUGUUUACAACUUGACUAGGUUGGAGUUCUGGUAAUAGUGGCAAUCUUGACAUUCUUGGUCAGAGUUUAGAGAGAUGUAAGACUUCCAAUUAAUGUCUUAUUUACUUUAUGUUGAUUAGUCUUUGAUACAUGUGCUGAAUCAGAAACCUAAAUAAAGAUAAUUUUUUAAAAUGCA